AUUGACGUUGGAUUUUCAACGAGUGGCGGACGGGUGAGUAACACGUAGGUAACCUGCCCAGAAGCGGGGGAUAACAUCUGGAAACAGGUGCUAAUACCGCAUAACAAUUCAAAUCGCAUGGUUUGAAUUUAAAAGAUGGCUCUGCUAUCACUUCUGGAUGGACCUGCGGCGCAUUAGCUUGUUGGUAGGGUAAUGGCCUACCAAGGCAGUGAUGCGUAGCCGAGUUGAGAGACUGAUCGGCCACAAUGGGACUGAGACACGGCCCAUACUCCUACGGGAGGCAGCAGUAGGGAAUCUUCCACAAUGGGCGCAAGCCUGAUGGAGCAACACCGCGUGAGUGAAGAAGGGUUUCGGCUCGUAAAGCUCUGUUGUUGAAGAAGAACGUGCAUGAGAGUAACUGUUCAUGCAGUGACGGUAUUCAACCAGAAAGUCACGGCUAACUACGUGCCAGCAGCCGCGGUAAUACGUAGGUGGCAAGCGUUAUCCGGAUUUAUUGGGCGUAAAGAGAGUGCAGGCGGUUUCUUAAGUCUGAUGUGAAAGCCUUCGGCUCAACCGAAGAAGUGCAUCGGAAACUGGGAGACUUGAGUACAGAAGAGGGCAGUGGAACUCCAUGUGUAGCGGUGGAAUGCGUAGAUAUAUGGAAGAACACCAGUGGCGAAGGCGGCUGCCUGGUCUGUAACUGACGCUGAGACUCGAAAGC
rnacentral:rRNA from 1 species